rnacentral:tRNA from 1 species
GCCUCCGUAGUUAAAUGGCAUAACUCCGGCUUUGUAACCCGGAAUCUACAGUUCGAUUCUGUACGGGGGCACCA